GAUCAAUUUCCCUGAAAAUUCCUCCUUCGGUUUGGCUUCCUAGUCUUAAGAUUCUUAAGAUGGAGGAUGUUAGAUAUGAAAAUGGAGAUUGAGCUCAGGAGCUGAUCCAUGGGUGCCCAGUUCUUGAAUAUUUGAAAAUUUACAGGGGGUGUGAGAGUGAAGAAGUGUUGAACAUUUCUGCGCCCUCAUUGAAGCGUCUUGUGGUAACCUAUAUAGGUGAUGGUGACUAGUUUAUAGUCAAUACCCUGAGCUUGAAUACCUUGAUCGCACAUAUUAUUGGGCAAAGGAUUUGUCAUUUGAGAACUUAUCAUCCUUGUUGGAAGCACAUAUCAAAACUGGUUUGUCCAACUCAGGUCCCAUCAAGACCAACAUACUCAGCUUCUUCGCGGGAUUGCAACUGUUAAGUCUUCGAGCAAGAUUUGUAGCCAUCGAUUAUUAUCGAAGAAAAUGCUUUAUGCCGAUGUUGAGGAUUAUGUUCUGCCAACUUCUCCUACUCUUCAUAAUUUGACACAUCUAAAGCUGACGGAGGGCAUUAACAAUAAUGGCUUCAACUUGAAAUGACUUUCUUGAGUACUCGCCUAACCUUGAAGUUCUUGUUCAUGAGGGAAGUAGGUACUCUUCUAACAAAGAAAUCAAAUCCUGGAGUCCACCUCCGAGAGUGCCUCACUGUUUGUUAUUUCAUCUCAAGGAAGUUGAGUUUCUGGACUUAGGUAGAGGAAGCCUUGAGUUUGAAGUGAUAGAAUAUUUGCUGAAAAGUGCUGAAAUUUUGAAGAAAUUGACAAUCCGUUCUGAGCAUUCAGAUACCUGGCGGAUAGCCCGAUUUCGAAGGGCCUCAAAGACUUGUAAACUUAAUCUCCUCUAAAGAUGUAAGUUGUUAUUCUUUUUGUUUGGGGUAUAAAUGCUAAUGCCAAGAAAUUUCUAGUGUAUCUCAUCUAGAAGGAAAUGCAUGAGCUUGAAGCUAUCGAACAUGUGUUUUUUUCAUGUGGGUGGACUAGACCUCUAUGGUCCAGUAGCAAUUUAUCUUACGAAGUGAACCAUGUGGACAUGCAGUGGAUGUCUCCUCUGCUUUAUAUUGGAUUGUGGACAGAAGUCUCCUUAAAGAUGUCUUAAGGGCUGCUUACUACCUCUGCAAGUCCAGCUCUGUAAGUGAGUUACACAGCCGAAGUCAUCUUUAUAAAUGGAAGCCCCCUCCUUUGGUUGUGAUGGAUAUUCUAUCCUCACUCUCACAAAGCAGCUUUGCAAUGAUUGUUAGUGGAAUAUUGUUCCAUCUAAUGAGUUAGAAUGAAAGUGUAAGCAGCUUUUGGUGCCGAAGCUUAGGCUGUUAGAAUUGCUUGUGAUAUGGCUUCUAUUUUUUGCCUUCUGGAAGUAAUUGAAUCAAUGUCAUCUGAGGUGAUCCAGGCCGCUAUGUCUUGCCCUUUUCAGACCUUGGGAGAUCCAGUCUUUUAUUGAAGACAUUUGCAUUGCUGCAGACGUGACGAGCUGGGCCUUCUCUUGAUGCAUAUUAGUUGGUGAUGUAGGUUAUCGUCAUAUGACUCAUUUUUCGCAAUAAUGCAAAAGUAGUGGGUCUGUUACAUAGAACAGUUGAUGAUUGCAAAAUUCGUGGGUCUCUGAAUUCUCAAUGCCAUGCUCUGAACGAGACAAAUAGACUUAUUCUGCCUGGCUCUGAACGAUGCUUUGGCUGCGGCGAAAGUGGAAGAUUAACUCUAGUGUUAUUCUGCACGCUGUGUUUUCUGGUGAUACCACACCAAUGAUAUUGAAAAACAUGGUUACACUAAAAGACCACUUGUUGCUAUCACAAUUUCUUCAUUCC